AUUGAACGCUGGCGGCAUGCCUUACACAUGCAAGUCCAACGGUAACAGGUUAAGCUGACGAGUGGCGAACGGGUGAGUAAUGUAUCGGAACGUGCCCAGUCGUGGGGGAUAACUGCUCGAAAGAGCAGCUAAUACCGCAUACGACCUGAGGGUGAAAGCGGGGGAUCGCAAGACCUCGCGCGAUUGGAGCGGCCGAUAUCAGAUUAGGUAGUUGGUGAGGUAAGGGCUCACCAAGCCGACGAUCUGUAGCUGGUCUGAGAGGACGACCAGCCACACUGGGACUGAGACACGGCCCAGACUCCUACGGGAGGCAGCAGUGGGGAAUUUUGGACAAUGGGCGCAAGCCUGAUCCAGCCAUGCCGCGUGCGGGAAGAAGGCCUUCGGGUUGUAAACCGCUUUUGUCAGGGAAGAAAAGGUUCUGGCUAAUACCUGGGACUCAUGACGGUACCUGAAGAAUAAGCACCGGCUAACUACGUG
rnacentral:rRNA from 1 species